rnacentral:lncRNA from 1 species
CCAGUAGCUAGAUGUGGACUUUCGAGGCCUCGGACCCCGUUCCAAGUCCGGUCGUCCCUUUCUAGGCCAUUGUGCCUUUCUUCGGCGUUUUGGGACGAAACCAAGGAAUCGAGUCUAGGGCGUCACUGUUCGGCUUUUGUGGGCAAGAAACUUCGAGAUCGGACCACCCAGUAGCUAGAUGUGGACUUUUGACGCCUUGGACCCCGUUCCAAGUCCGGUCGUCCCUUUCUAGGCCACUGUGCCUUUCUUCAGCGUUCUGGCACGGAACUAAGAAACCGAGUCUGGGGCAUCACCGUUCGGCUUUUGUUGCAAGAAACUUCGAGACCGGACCACCCAGUAGCUAGAUGUGGACUUUCGAGGACUCGGACCCCGUUCCAAGUCCAGUCGUCCCUUUCUAGGCCAUUGUGCCUUUCUUCGGCGUUUUGGGACGGAACCAAGAAACCGAGUCUGGGGCGUCACCGUUCGGCUUUUGUGGGCAAGAAACUUCGAGAUCGGACCAACCAGUAGCUAGAUGUGGACUUUUGAGGCCUCGGACCCCGUUCCAAGUCCGGUCGUCCCUUUCUAGGCCAUUGUGCCUUUCUUCGGCGUUUUGGGACGGAACCAAGAAACCGAGUCUGGGCGUUACCGUUCGGCUUUUGUGGGCAAGAAACUUCGAGAUCGGACCACCCAGUAGCUAGAUGUGGACUUUCGAGGCCUCGGACCUCGUUCCAAGUCCAAUCGUCCCUUUCUAGGCCAUUGUGCAUUUCUUCGGCGUUUUGGGACGGAACCAAGUAACCGAGUCUGGGGCGUCACCGUUCGGCUUUUGUGGGCAAGAAACUUCGAGAUCGGACCACCUAGUAGCUAGAUGGGGACUUUCAAGGCCUCGGACCCCGUUCCAAGUCCGGUCGUCCCUUUCUUGGCCAUUGUGCCUUUCUUCGGCGUUCUGGGACGGAACCAAGAAACCGAGUCUGGAGCGUCACCGUUCGGAUUUUGUGGGCAAGAAACUUCGACAUCGGACCACCCAGUAGCUAGAUGUGGACUUUCGAGGCCUCGGACCCCGUUCCAAGUCCGGUCGUCCCUUUCUAGGCAAUUAUGCCUUUCUUCGGCGUUUUGGGACGGAACCAAGAAACCGAGUCUGGGCGUUACCGUUCGGCUUUUGUGGGCAAGAAACUUCGAGAUCGGACCACCCAGAAGCUAGAUGUGGACUUUUGACGCCUCGGACCCCGUUCCAAGUCCGGUCGUCCCUUUCUAGGCCACUGUGCCUUUCUUCAGCGUUCUGGCACGAAACGAAGAAACCCAGUCUGGGGCGUCACCGUUCGGCUUUUGUGGGCAAGAAACUUCGAGAUCGGACCACCCAGUAGCUAGAUGUGGACUUUCGAGGCCUCGGACCCCGUUCCAAGUCCGGUCGUCCCUUUCUAGGCCAUUGUGCCUUUCUUCUGCGUUUUGGGACGGAACCAAGAAACCGAGUCUGGGGCGUCACCGUUCGGGUUUUGUGGGCAAGAAACUUCGACAUCGGACCACCCAGUAGCUAGAUGUGGACUUUCGAGGCCUCGGACCCCGUUCCAAGUCCGAUCGUCCCUUUCUAGGCCAUUGUGCCUUUCUUCGGCGUUUUGGGACGGAACCAAGGAACCGAGUCUAGGGCGUCACCGUUCGGCUUUUGUGGGCAAGAAACUUCGAGAUCGGACCACCCAGUAGCUAGAUGUGGACUUUUGACGCCUUGGACCCCGUUCCAAGUUCGGUCGUCCCUUUCUAGGCCACUGUGUCUUUCUUCAGCGUUCUGGCACGGAACGAAGGAACCGAGUCUGGGACGUCACCGUUCGGCUUUUGUGGGCAAGAAACUUCGAGACCGGACCACCCAGUAGCUAGAUGUGGACUUUCGAGGCCUCGGACCCGUUCCAAGUCCGGUCGUCCCUUCCUAGGCCAUUGUGCAUUUCUUCGGCGUUUUGGGACGGAACCAAGAAACCGAGUCUAGGCGUUACCGUUCGGUUUUUGUGGGCAAGAAACUUCGAGAUCGGACCACCCAGUAGCUAGAUGUCGACUUUCGAGGCCUCGAACCUCGUUCCAAGUCAGUUCGUCCCUUUCUAGGCCAUUGUGCCUUUCUUCGGCGUUUUUGGAUGGAACCAAGAAACCGAGUCUGGGGCGUCACCGUUCGGAUUUUGUGGGCAAGAAACUUCGACAUCGGACCACCCAGUAGCUAGAUGUGGACUUUCGAGGCCUCGGACCCCGUUCCAAGUCCGAUCGUCCCUUUCUAGGCCAUUGUGCCUUUCUUUGGCGUUUUGGGACGGAACCAAGAAACCGAGUCUGGGGCGUCACCGUUCGGCUUUUGUGGGCAAGAAACUUCGAGAUCGGACCACCCAGUAGAUGUUGUUGGUUCUACUCCCAAGGUAUAAACCUUAGCUACAAGCUAUUUCAAGGAUCACAUGUGCC